AUCGAACGCUGGCGGCAGGCCUAACACAUGCAAGUCGAGCGGGGUUUUCGGACCUAGCGGCGGACGGGUGAGUAAUGCGUAGGAAGCUGCCCGAUAGAGGGGGAUACCAGUUGGAAACGACUGUUAAUACCGCAUAAUGUCUACGGACCAAAGUGUGGGACCUUCGGGCCACAUGCUAUCGGAUGCGCCUACGUGGGAUUAGCUAGUUGGUGAGGUAAUGGCUCACCAAGGCGACGAUCUCUAGCUGGUUUGAGAGGAUGAUCAGCCACACUGGAACUGAGACACGGUCCAGACUCCUACGGGCGGCAGCAGUGGGGAAUAUUGGACAAUGGGCGCAAGCCUGAUCCAGCCAUGCCGCGUGUGUGAAGAAGGCCUUCGGGUUGUAAAGCACUUUCAGCGAGGAGGAAGGGGUGUGUGUUAAUAGUACACACCUUUGACGUUACUCGCAGAAGAAGCACCGGCUAACUCUGUGCCAGCCGCCGCCGUAAAAC
rnacentral:rRNA from 1 species